UAAGAAGCCCCGGCUAACUACGUGCCAGCAGCCGCGGUAAUACGUAGGGGGCAAGCGUUAUCCGGAAUUACUGGGUGUAAAGGGUGAGUAGGCGGCAUGGUAAGCCAGAUGUGAAAGCCUUGGGCUUAACCCGAGGAUUGCAUUUGGAACUAUCAAGCUAGAGUGCAGGAGAGGAAAGCGGAAUUCCUAGUGUAGCGGUGAAAUGCGUAGAUAUUAGGAAGAACACCAGUGGCGAAGGCGGCUUACUGGACAGUAACUGACGUUGAGGCUCGAAAGCGUGGGGAGCAAACAGGAUUAGAUACCC
rnacentral:rRNA from 1 species